rnacentral:rRNA from 1 species
GAUGAACGCUGGCGGCGUGCCUAAUACAUGCAAGUCGAGCGAAUGGAUUAAGAGCUUGCUCUUAUGAAGUUAGCGGCGGACGGGUGAGUAACACGUGGGUAACCUGCCCAUAAGACUGGGAUAACUCCGGGAAACCGGGGCUAAUACCGGAUAACAUUUUGAACCGCAUGGUUCGAAAUUGAAAGGCGGCUUCGGCUGUCACUUAUGGAUGGAUCCGCGUCGCAUUAGCUAGUUGGUGAGGUAACGGCUCACCAAGGCAACGAUGCGUAGCCGACCUGAGAGGGUGAUCGGCCACACUGGGACUGAGACACGGCCCAGACUCCUACGGGAGGCAGCAGUAGGGAAUCUUCCGCAAUGGACGAAAGUCUGACGGAGCAACGCCGCGUGAGUGAUGAAGGCUUUCGGGUCGUAAAACUCUGUUGUUAGGGAAGAACAAGUGCUAGUUAAAUAAGCUGACACCUUGACGGUACCUAACCAGAAAGCCACGGCUAACUACGUGCCAGCCGCCGCAGUAA